CAGAUCUACGCUGAACUAGCAGAAUUUUACUUGAAUACAUAACAUAGCGAAACAGACCUUGCAAUAUCAACCAAAACAAACUCAUAUUUACAAAACAGUCUACUCAUCAAAAUUAUGAAACCGUUUUGAUAUUGAAGAUUGUCCUAAACUGAGACAUGAGCAUUUAAGAAACUUAAAACAAAUUUACAGAUAAACAACCAUGCCCAUGUGACAUAUUAUUAAUGUAGUGAUUGUGUGCUUAAAUAUGGUAUUUGUACCAUAUUUAAUCACAUACUAGAAACUACCCCCACUGGCUAAAUAGCUGUGGGGAGAGCACAUUUUUUUUAUAUUGUUACAUCAAUGUAUUUUUAGUUGUGUGCUUCCUGUAUCUGAUAUUAUAUGUAAAUUAAUUGAUGUACAAAGUCUGAUGACCUUUUAAGCAUUGUAUAGAUUUACCCACUUGCUUUACUCAAACUUGACUCAUACUUUUUUUUCCAGAAAUCAUUACGUUCCAGUAUGCAAGUAAAAUGUUAGUGUUUUUGAAAUCAAUCAAAUAUUGAAUUCUAUGGAACUAGUAUGAAUUUGUGAUCAGAUACGAACAUUCAACUUACUGUUCUUUCUUUAAGUUAGUCACUUGCUUAUAUCACACCAAUGACUCUCAUGUAUUGUUAAAUAUUUGCCAGAAAAUUUGUUAACACUUGAAAACUUACUUUAAAUGAUUUUGAUGUGUAUGACCUGUCAUGCAUCGGAUACUUAAUUAGAGCGAUUGCAAAAGAUGCAUGUUUACAACUUUGAUUCAAGGACUUACCUGAAAAGUGUAUCACUGGACCUGAAAAGUGUAUCACUGGAAAUAUCAAUUAACUGACAUUUGAUACAACAAAGUGCGGAUGAAUAAUGAAACUGAUCAACAAAAAGGAACCACAACAAAGUGCUAAUGAAUAUCAAGAAAAUAAACAAAAACUUCAAAACUACACAAGACAUUUGAAAAUACUGGGGUAUUGGACAAUCGUUUCCUCCAUGUAACUACCACCAAUGAUCAGAUCCUUUGUACUGGCCACAGACCUAAAUCACUAUCAGGAAUAGAACAGACCAACCAAUAUGAAAAUAAAACACAACAGUAGUAUGUAGACAGAUUCCAGACACAGACAACAGUUUUCUAAGACGUACAUCCCUACACGCAAUCCACAUCAAAUCACUCUUGGACUUGAUCAAUUUAUCCAGUUGUGUUCUGCAAGACCAAACAACUCCUCAUGUCGGUUUCAAUUCAUCUCUAAUUGUACAAUGCAAACAUUACUAUUCUACAUGUAGAUCACAAAAUUAAGUUUAGAUUUGUGCUACACCAUGUUAUGAACAACAGCUGCAAUAUUUCAUAUAUCACUGCUGUUGUAUUUGAACAAUAAGACCAUGUGUUUUCAUUAUUUGGUCUCAAUUUUAAUUCAAGCUGGACUACAACAAAAUGUUUCAGCUGUAUGCUGUUAUUCAUACCAUUCACUUAAAUUGUGUGCUUUAUAUUGUGUAGGUGUAUAUAAAAAGAUUUCUUGAAUAUCUGUUUAACUCAGUUAGUCACUUAGAAUAUUUGCAAAUAAGCCUCUGCCAUUUGGAGUAAGACUUAAAACAAGAAUGUGAUAAAAGCACAUGAUUGAUGUCUUCAGCAACUCAUGAUUCUCAGCAAAUUAAUGUUGAUUUAUUGUAACAGGUAAGUAUCUGAAAGUGGGGUCACUGGCAUGGCAGUAAAUGCCUGUAAACCCUUUCUUUCCAUGUCAUGUUGCUCAAAUAGCUGAAGAACAUGGAGUAAUUUCAUGAUGAUAUAUCAGGUGCGCAUGGUCUAGUUCCAUGGCAUGCCUUGUAUAUUUUUUGGUGUGUCAUUAAAAACGACUUAACUGAUUUAUAAAACUUUUUUAAACAACUUAAACUAUAUUGUCAAUUUCAUGCAAAUUGACUCAUAUGUGCUCAGUGUGGCAUUAGACAAGAUGAUAAUAUUCAUAUUGUGUUUAUAUGGCAAAUUGAGCCAUACACUUUCCAUGAAGUAUGUACAUCAUAGGUAUAGUUCUGUACACCUAUCGUACAAUCUUGUGCUAAAUAUGCCUAUGAAACAUCACAUUAUAUCAUUGUUCAUUCACUAAUUGCCAAUUUUAUUUAUAAUUUUAUUACAUUAUUUUAAUGGUAAAUAAAUAUUUAUUGUGUAUAUAAUAAUAUCAUGGUUGUUUUUCCUAUUAAACUCUUACCUUUGAAACCAAUACGGACCAUCAUUUUCUUGACGAAUGUUUGUAAAACACACACAAUACUAAAGAUUGUCAGUGCUCUAUUGGAUUCAUUCAUUGAAGUAAUCUUAUCAUUCAUCACAGUGGUCCAUAAUAUCUCAAGCAAGUUUGAAAUUCAAAGAAAACACUUCAAGGUCAAUAAUAUUCUACAGAAAUAUAUAUGUGAAUCAUUUUAAUGUAAUAGCAACAGGUGCCAUACAACACACAAAUUGCUUCAAUACCUGCAAUCUUUAGUAUUUUGUGUGUUUUACUUCAAUACUUCCUCGGAGAUAGCGAUAACAAACUUCAAUUGUCAAAAUCCAAGAUGACUGCCUGUCGGCCAUGUUGUUUUCCAACUGAACCCGAAAUAAAAAUAGGCAUAACUAGACAGAAAGCCAUUAUUGAUACAUUUUAUAUACAUGUAUAGGUUCCCCUUGUUUGAAAAGUACUGGAAGGAUGUUUCUCAUUUUACACAAAUUAGUAAGACGAAGGGAAAAGUAGAGAAAAGUA